CACGUAGGGGACGAGCGUUGUCCGGAUUCAUUGGGCGUAAAGCGCGCGUAGGCGGCUCGGAAAGUCGGUCGUGAAAUGCCGGGGCUCAACCCCGGGACUGCGUCCGAUACUUCCGGGCUGGAGGUAGGUAGGGGAGAUCGGAAUUCCUGGUGUAGCGGUGAAAUGCGCAGAUAUCAGGAGGAACACCCGUAGCGAAGGCGGCACUCUGGGCCGAUACUGACACUGAGGAGCGAAAGCGUGGGGAGCGAACAGG
rnacentral:rRNA from 1 species